rnacentral:rRNA from 1 species
CGUGAAAUUGUUGAAAGGGAAGCGCUUGCAAUCAGACUUGCACUUGGUGUUCAUCAGGGUCUCGUACCCUGUGUACUUCAUCAAGUUCAGGCCAGCAUCAGUUUGAGUGGUUAGAUAAAGGCUUAGAGAAUGUGGCCCUCUUAGGAGGGUGUUAUAGCUCUAGGUGCAAUGUAGCCUACUUGGACUGAGGACCGCGCUGCGGCUAGGAUGCUGGCGUAAUGGUUGUAAGCGACACGUCUUGAAACACGG